rnacentral:rRNA from 1 species
UACGGAGGGUGCAAGCGUUGUCCGGAUUUAUUGGGUUUAAAGGGUGCGUAGGCGGCUUUUUAAGUCAGUGGUGAAAUCCUGCAGCUUAACUGUAGAACAGCCAUUGAUACUGAAGAGCUUGAGUACAGACGAGGUAGGCGGAAUUUAUGGUGUAGCGGUGAAAUGCAUAGAUACCAUAAAGAACCCCUAUUGCGAAGGCAGCUUACUAGGCUGUAACUGACGCUGAGGCACGAAAGCGUGGGGAUCAAAC